CAUUUUUUAUGCGUUUCUUUUAUUUCAUAUAAUUAUAUUUAUUAUAAUUAUAUUUGUGAAAUGUAUUAAAUCAGAAGUUACUCGAAGAAUAAGAUAAUAAUGGUUUAAUUACUCGAUCAACUACUCGUUUCUAUGUAAUGAGCUCGGUUUCAGUUUAUCUACAGGGUCGUUCGCUCGCACGUUUCUUCGUAUUUCGUGGACAUCGAGUUUAUAUCGGAGAUGCUUGAGAUUUUUGGCGGUCAUCCAAAUAAAAUGAGAGGAUGAAAGGAAGACAGAGAUACACGGAAGGAAUAACAGAGGAUAGACGAUUCUUGAUCGUUCUCCAAAAGGUAAACGAGCCGCGAGGUCGCGUUCCUCUUGCUCCGUUCUCCGGUCGUCGUGAUGACCUUGAGGCUCGUUUCCCUGUUCCGCAUUCUAAAAAUAUUUACCCGCUCGAAGGGUUUGCGCCACGAUAGACGCCCGAGAUCAUCCUAUCUUUUCUUUGUAUUAUUCUUCGUAUUUCUCUCUCUCUCUCUCUCUCUCUUUUUCUUUUU